rnacentral:misc_RNA from 1 species
GUUAUAUAUGUUCUGUUCUUAGCUUGCUGCUUGUAUUCUGCUCGUUUUGUUCGCUGGGAGGGACUCUUCUUCAUCAAUAGCUAGGAAUUGCAUUGGUGGAUGUGAGGAGUCCAUUCCUGGGCCUUUCUAUGUUGUUUUCCUCCCUCACUCUGCUUUCUUGUUCCUUGUAUAUUUCAAUAAAAUCUUUGCUUAAAAAAAGGUGCUGUUUCAGAGGUCAAAUGAUUUUUUGGCAUCUUUAAUUCCAUAUGGACAGCAUUGAUAAUGAAAAGAGAAUAAAUAAAGUUGGAGAAAAUGAUUUUUUUUUGUCGAUUGCUUACUUGAGUAGGACAAAGGUACAAUUGCAUGCUAGAAAUUUCAGGUUGGCAAACUGAUUCUCUCUGGUGCAGCCGUAGACUAAUCAUGGGUGGAAUGUCUGCCGACCAUUAACUAUUAUCCAAUUAUUGCAAAAUGACUCAUAUUCGAUCUGGGUUCCGACUGGUGGCUCUUUAGAAGUGAAAAAGUGGCUCUUGUCUUUGCCAUUGAGUGCAUUUCUUGCAACACAUGCCACAUCGCAAUUAAUCACCAUCACGCUUCAUGGGGCUCGCAUAUAUAAUUUAUACUUUCUUAUAUAAACAAGAUUGUUUUAUCAAGAUUUUGAAGCAUACAUGUAUAGCAUCCUCUCGCUCUUUUUCUCUCUCUUCUAACGUAUUUAGAGAGAUUUUUCACCAAAAAGUUCUACCUUUUCUUAAGGCUAUCUGACCCUUUUCUUCUUGGCGCUUGGAGUCGUCAGCCGUCCCUUGCCCUUCGGCGUAGGGGAAGGUUAUGCUUCUCCUCCCCAGGGUAUGAGCUUCCCUCCUCAUCCUUGAGUGAGGUUGCAAAUAUCUCUUGUGCUUAGUUUUGGCUUUGGCAAAAUGGGUGUUAAGGUGGGGGAUAUUGUUGUUCUGCUGUGUGGCUUUGAUGGUUUGAAGGAACCAUGGCUUCCAUGGCUCUAUUCUUCUUGGUGCCGCCUUUUCUUAGUUUCAGUGGGUAGUGCAGGUAAUCAAGGCGUGAGAGACUCCAAGGAAGGCGAUCUCUCGAGAGUUUAGCUCUUCAAAAGUUUUUGCUGGUUUUCCCAUGGCUACAAUGUCAUGGCCUCUGCUCUCCUCUUUCCUCUGUUGAUGGGUGGUCUUGAGCCUAGUUUCUGCCAGCGGAGAUAGUACUUUCUUUGGUCUUGUGGGCCUUUUUUUGUGUCCAUGGCAGUCCCUGCUCUAGCUGGCACAACAUUGAUAGAAGAAAUACUCUGUUAUGGUCUCUUGCGUUCUCUUCCAGCUGGUCCCAAUGGCGGCGGCCCGACAAGGAUGGAAAUCAUGGCUGUAGGUCUCCAAGCCUUUAGGGAUACGGUUGGCUGUUGGGUAAUGGGCUCAUAGGGAAUGCCUGCAUUGAGUUGGGCUGUAUUGUUUUCUGGGCUUAAGCUUUGUGAUGUAUCAGGACUUCAUUCUCCUUAAUUGUACUCUGCCUUUUGGGUUUUAAUGUAAUAAAC